UUAAUUUGUAAUGCACUCUUCAUUCAGAAGAAUCUCAGAGUGCCAACAUAUUAGAAACUAACUAUAAUAAUACAAUAAAAUAAAAAUGAGUUAACAUAAGCAUAAUUGAAUUUUUUUACCAUUUUAACAUAAGAUUUAACACAAGGCCAGAAAUGCCUUCCUGAAUAAAAAUGUUUGAAUAAUGUUUAAAAAUAUCUGUUUAGAAUAUGACUUUUCAUGGGGUUGGGCUCGUACCCUAAGUGGUAGGGUGUGGAUUUGGUGUCCAUGACCGUUGGGAACUACCUAUUCUCUGAAUGGCACGGGUGGGUCAAGGUUAGAGGCAAACAGCUCCAACGUGGUCUUUGUGAAGUGUCCCUGUGGCAUCUGGCACCAAGAUUUAAACAGCAGAUUCCUCUAAAUUGUAAAAUGAAGCCGCCAUUGAUCGGAUUGGUCCACAUCCCACAGAUGCUCAAUUCGUUUGACAUGUGAUUGAUCUGGGGGCCAGGGUAACACUUUGAAUUCUUCUUUGUGUUCCUCAACCCAUUCCUGGACAAUGUAGCAGGGUACAGAAACCACUUCCAUCACGGAAUGCCAUUUCCAGCAAAGGGGUGUAUAACUGGUUCACAAAGACUAGGUAGGUGGAACGUGUCAAAUUGAUAUCCACAUAAAUGUCAUACCCAAUAUUUACCAGCAGAACAUUGCCCAGUACAUCACCCCGCUACAGGCACUACAUGGGGUCCUACAUCAGAACAUUGACCAGUACAUCACCCCGCUACAGGCACUAAAUGGGGUCCUUCAUCAGAUCAUUGACCAGUACAUCACCCCGCUACAGGCACUAAAUGGAGAACAUUGCCCAGUACAUCACACCGCUACAGGCACUAAAUGGGCUCCUACAUCAGAGGCCGGAAGAAGACACUGUACAGUCAUUUUCUACAGUUUCUUUACAGUUACAGUUCUUUACAGGUGUAUCUUUGUAGGGAUCCCAUAUAGUAAGUUAUCGGUUUUAGCGCUCUUUAGCGUAACUCAAUACUGGACCAAUUUUGAUCGUUAAUUGUCCCUAGUAAAUAUUUUGACCCAAAAAGAUCUAAAAAUAGGACCCAAGUUAAAAAAAAAACAAAGAUUACCUUCCCUAGAGAAAACUAGACCCAUCCAAACAGACAACCUUCUUCCAUUGCUCCCGGGUCCAGUUCUGAUGAUGGCGUGCCCAUUGUAGGCACAGUGGACAGGGUUUGGCAUUGGUACUCUGAACUGUCAGCAGCCAUGCAGCUCCAAACCCAAACGUCCUCCCGUAACCAUCAUUAUAAUGUGCUGUGCCCUGUGUCACUGUAACGUCCUCCCGUAACCAUCAUUAUAAUGUGCUGUGCCCUGUGUCCUGUGUCACUGUAACGUCCUCCCGUAACCAUCAUUAUAAUGUGCUGUGCCCUGUGUCACUGUAACGUCCUCCCGUAACCAUCAUUAUAAUGUGCUGUGCCCUGUGUCACUGUAACGUCCUCCCGUAACCAUCAUUAUAAUGUGCUGUGCCCUGUGCCCUGUGCCACUGUAACCCUCCAGUGAGAUCAAACCAGAUGAGAGACAACCUUGGUUACCCUCAUGUAUCAACAAGCUUUGGGACCCUAACACCCUGUCGCCUGAUUACAGUUUGACCGUUCUCAGACCAUAACUGGUAGGUAGGCCUACUCACCACUGCUGACCAGGAGCUCCCUAAAUGACUUGCAGUUUUGGACAUUUGCCAACCCAGUCAACUAGCCAUAACAAUUUGACCAUAUCAAAACCAAAAGUCUUUGUAGCUCCGCCCAUUUCUGUAACACUUUAAUGGAGCCCUGUGUGGUAAGACUGGCAUAAACACAGGGGAGUCAGGUGUCAUUUCAAACAUUAAAAGAUGAUACAUUGCUGUCAACUAAUGGCUAUUCAUCACAUCAUACUGUCAACUAAUUACAACAUGUAUCCACAUAUCCAGAAAUUAGAUGAGACACUUUAUUGUAAGAAUCUAUCAUAACUGACCAAAAAGAUCUCCUAGCUAC
ensembl:lncRNA